GCCCACUUAGCUCAAAGGUUAGAGCAUCGCAUUUGUAAUGCGAGGGUCAUCGGUUCAAUUCUGAUAGUUGGCU
rfam:Triticum aestivum genome assembly, contig: Triticum_aestivum_CS42_TGACv1_scaffold_221740_3B